UACGAGGGGUGCAAGCGUUGUUCGGAAUCACUGGGCGUAAAGGGAGCGUAGGCGGAAGUGCAAGCAAUCUGUAUAAUCCUGGGGCCCAACCCCAGUUCUGCAGAUUGGACUGUAUUUCUUGAAUAGUUCAGAGGCAAGCGGAAUUUCUGGUGUAGCGGUGGAAUGCGUAGAGAUCAGAAAGAACACCAAUGGCGAAGGCAGCUUGCUGGGGACUUAUUGACGCUGAGGCUCGAAAGUGUGGGUAGCAAACAGGAUUAGAUACC
rnacentral:rRNA from 1 species